UACGUAGGGGGCAAGCGUUGUCCGGAAUUAUUGGGCGUAAAGAGCGUGUAGGCGGUCCGGUAAGUCCGCUGUGAAAGUCCAGGGCUCAACCCUGGGAUGCCGGUGGAUACUGUCGGGCUCGAGUCCGGAAGAGGAGUGUGGAAUUCCUGGUGUAGCGGUGAAAUGCGCAGAUAUCAGGAGGAACACCAAUGGCGAAGGCAGCACUCUGGGACGUGACUGACGCUGAGACGCGAAAGCGUGGGGAACAAACAGG
rnacentral:rRNA from 1 species